rnacentral:rRNA from 1 species
ACGAACGCUGGCGGCGCGCCUAACACAUGCAAGUCGCGCGAUGAAAUUUUAACCGAUCUCUUCGGAGAGAAGAUAAAAUGGAUUAGCGGCGGACGGGUGAGUAACACGUGAGAAACCUGCCUUUCACAAGGGGAUAGCCUCGGGAAACCGGGAUUAAUACCCUAUGACACAUUUCCUUCGCAUGGAAGAAAUGUUAAAACUCCGGUGGUGAAAGAUGGUCUCGCGCCUGAUUAGCUAGUUGGUGGGGUAACGGCCCACCAAGGCCAUGAUCAGUAACCGGCCUGAGAGGGUGAACGGUCACAUUGGAACUGAGACACGGUCCAAACUCCUACGGGAGGCAGCAGUGGGGAAUAUUGCACAAUGGAGGAAACUCUGAUGCAGCGACGCCGCGUGAGCGAUGAAGGCUUUCGAGUCGUAAAGCUCUGUCCUAUGGGAAGAUAAUGACGGUACCAUAGGAGGAAGCCCCGGCUAACUACGUG